rnacentral:rRNA from 1 species
UACGUAGGGGGCAAGCGUUAUCCGGAAUUACUGGGUGUAAAGGGAGCGUAGACGGUAAUGUAAGUCUGGAGUGAAAGGCGGGGGCCCAACCCCCGGACUGCUCUGGAAACUAUGUUACUGGAGUGCAGGAGAGGUAAGCGGAAUUCCUAGUGUAGCGGUGAAAUCCGUAGAUAUCUGGAGGAACAUCAGUGGCGAAGGCGGCCACCUGGACCGGUAUUGACGCUGAGGCGCGAAAGCGUGGGGAGCAAACAGG